AAAUUAUUUGUGCAGUUAAGAAAAUAUGCUGAUACUUUAGGUCACAUAAAUAUGAAGAUGUUACUCAAAAGGUUCUGAAGCAAACGUUCCCAGAACCCACGGACAAAGAGCCAGACUAUAUAAGAAUGGAAGUGCCGUUAGUGAAUGUGUCAGGAAAUCUUCAAUUAGGUGGACCGCUGCGUCAUACGUACAAUGCUGAGGAAAUAUUCGACUUUAUAUACGACGUCACUCCUAGGAAUGGAGUGGAGUACGAAACAAGUAUAAUGCCUUUGGUUCAGUUUUCAAUAAGACCACAAAACAGUGACAGUUACAACGACGGAACCCCUCGCUACGAACUUGACUACAACUUCCGAGGGCUCACAAAAGACUCUAGAUUGAUAUUGAGCAGUCUUAACAAAAAAAUGACGUCUAGAAAAGGAAAAUGGUUUGAUAAUAGAAAAUAUAAUUUUGGAAUGAAAAAUGCACCGUUUGCGAGAAAAGGAACUGGUCAUAACUAUCA